rnacentral:lncRNA from 13 species
GUUUGUAGUCGCCACCAGAUGGCAGUAUAUCGCCACAACCUCAUAAAAAAUAACUAAUUUAAUAUUCAUCACUACGUUGUUUCACUACUUAUUUACUACAUACAUGAGUGGUGAAGUCAGUACUGAUGAUUUUGUCAUUUGAGCAAAGUAGUGAUGAGUAGAGUUUUGGGACAUGCCGCCUACUGAAGCAGUGGACGCUGACCUCUGUUGUGUGGGGUGUGGACACCUUGGGAGGCCUGGAACCCAGGACGGGGAUUGGAAUCGGGACUGGGAAAUGGUGCCAGGCACCCAGCCUGAAAACUAGAGAAAAUAUGAUUUCUCGUGGAUUUCUGAUGGUCUCAUGCCAUGGAAAGGUUCCUCAUCUCUGAGAGAGUAAAACUGUUUGCAAUAGCCCCUUUCAAUAGCCCCUUUCUGCCAUUGGACGGAUGGCCACUCCACAGUCACAGAGGUCAGUGGAAAAGAUAAGAGAGAGAUGAGUUGUGAGAGGAACUCUGGGCUGGUGUCAUGACCACUGGAGUCAUACACCUUAACAGUACCUACCAGGCAGCGGAGGUUACUUACCGUGACCCAGUGGUUAGCCUUGAGAUUGACUAUCUGGACAAACCCCUGGACUAGUUGUCACGUUCGUUGUAAGAAUUAUCGGACCAAGGUGCAGUGUGAUAUGGUUUCCACAUACAUGUAUGUAUUAAUUGAAACGCACAAAAACAAUAAAGAAUGAGCGAAACGUUAAGACAACGGUGUGCUCACAGGCAACUACACAUAAACACAAAAUAAUAUCCCACAAACACAGGUGGGAAAAUGCAACCUAAUUAGAGAUUACCAGCUGCCUCUAAUUGGGAAUCAUAUAAAUCACCAACAUAGAAAAAUAAACUAGAACACCACAUAAAAAUAAUAAACUAGAAUACCCCCCAGUCACGCCCUGACCUACUACACCAUAGAGAAACAAGGGCUCUCUAUGGUCAGGGCGUGACACUAGUGUUGGUACUGCUGACAGCAUGGCGAUGACGCCCACUGCGAGGAGGCCUUCUACUUCUGGAUGCUGCACCUGCAAAAGAACUUGAGCAUGAUCAAUUGUAAAACUGUCUAACGAAGAACGUGACGGAAGAAUGACCCCCGAAAGUCCUCCAUCCGGCCACAGAGAUGUCGAAGUUCAGUCUCGCCUUGAUUGAUAAUACUGUAUAUUUCAUAUUAUUACAAAUACAUCUCUUACAUCUCUCUUGGAGGGCCAGGCAAUAAAUGAACAGCAGACAAUCAUUUCUACCUGGUCAAAAACCUCCACAUCCUUCUCAGCCCGUGUUUGAACGUGGUCCUCGGAGGCAUUCUGAUCUGCUUCGACAACUUCCACCACAUCAGGAGG